AUGGAUGAAGCUGUCUACAAAUGCUCGGCCAUCACACCAAAUGGAAGAGAUCAAAGUACAAUAAAGCAAAUAGUAGAAGACUCUGAAAUGCCCCAGGUGCAGUUUGAUAUGAUUGAUGAUGAGGACGUGGCCACAUGCGUCUCCAAGGGCUGGUACCUCAUGCCCAAUGUUACCUGGUUGGACCGGGCAGAGAGGGACCUAAGCAACCACAGUACAGUGGGGGUCCUGGAAGAGCAGAUGAAUGCCUUCUACAGGGUGUUCUCUGUCCUGAAAUACUCCGUCAAGUUAGAUGAGAAAUAUGUCUGCCACACAACAGAGACAGAUGUGAACAACCAGCCCUUCAGAAUCAUCCACAAGUACCCAAGUUGA
rnacentral:lncRNA from 1 species